UAAUGAGAAAAGUAAACUUACUGAAAGGUAAGGACACAAAGCCAUGAGUCUAAGGUAUGAAGAUACUAUGAUUGUCAGGUUGCCAAA
rnacentral:ncRNA from 1 species